rnacentral:rRNA from 1 species
CCUACGGGAGGCAGCAGUGGGGAAUUUUGGACAAUGGGCGCAAGCCUGAUCCAGCAAUGCCGCGUGAGUGAAGAAGGCCUUCGGGUUGUAAAGCUCUUUUGUCAGGGAAGAAACGGUGGGGGCUAAUAUCCUCCACUAAUGACGGUACCUGAAGAAUAAGCACCGGCUAACUACGUGCCAGCAGCCGCGGUAAUACGUAGGGUGCAAGCGUUAAUCGGAAUUACUGGGCGUAAAGCGUGCGCAGGCGGUUUUGUAAGUUUGUCGUGAAAUCCCCGGGCUCAACCUGGGAAUGGCGAUGAAGACUGCAAGGCUAGAAUCUGGCAGAGGGGGGUAGAAUUCCACGUGUAGCAGUGAAAUGCGUAGAGAUGUGGAGGAACACCGAUGGCGAAGGCAGCCCCCUGGGUCAAGAUUGACGCUCAUGCACGAAAGCGUGGGGAGCAAACAGGAUUAGAUACCCUGGUAGUCCACGCCCUAAACGAUGUCUACUAGUUGUCGGGUUUUAAUUAACUUGGUAACGCAGCUAACGCGUGAAGUAGACCGCCGUCGGGAGGUACGGUCGCGAGAAGUUAAACUUAACAAAUAGAAGUUAGUACGGCGUGAGACGUGCCGACGGACGACGACGAGGGAGGUUAGGAG